rnacentral:SRP_RNA from 1 species
GCUGGGCACAGUGGCACACACCUGUAGUCCCAGCCACUCAGGAGACUGAAGCGGAAGAAUCAACUUGAGCACUAUGCCAAUCAGGUGUCCACACUAAGUUCAGCAUCAAUAUGGUGACCUCCCAGGAGCAGGGGAACCACUAGGUUGCCUAAGGAGGCUGAACCAGCUCAAGUCAGAAAUGCAGCAGGUCAAAAUUCUUGUGCUGAUCAGCAGUGUGAUUGCACCUGUGAAUAGCCACUGCACGUGAGCCUAGGCAACU